GCACUGUCGGCAGUGUGAACUAUUUCAGAUUGAUCAAAAAUCUAGGUGUGGGUGAGUGUAUUUCAAACCCAAAAUUGCAUGUGCAUUUACACAGCUUUAGCCUUUUUGGGUGAACUGGAGUUAGACACCUAGACAAUUUUAGUCAGAAGGAUCAAACUGGCUAAUCUGCUUCUAGGUGAUGGUUUGGAGGAAGAUGAGAUUGACUCCACUUUUUGCUGUCAAAGGUGAUGCUAUGUGCUAGAAAUGUUUCGUGGAUAUAGCCUUUUUGCCUCCUUUAUAAAUGAAAACAUCAACUGGGGAAUCUUAAUUGUGUUUGGAGUCUGAGAUGAAUGACCCCCAAACUGCUUUCCUUUAGCAACCGCUCUACAAAAAUUCUGGUUUGAGAUCUCUCUGAAACACUUUGAAGUAGUGCUAGAGCAGGAAGUUAAUUAGAGCUGCUUUGAUAUCUUACAGCAUGUUUUAACAGCUGCUUCAGAGGCAGCUCAAACAGCAAGAGCUAACGUGGUUUAGUGCAUGUUCCUGAAAGUCUGCGCUGCCUCCACCAAAAUGUCUCUGUGUGCCACUGCUGGGGCUGGUUGUUUUCUUUCCUAAGAGUUUGCGUGCAUGGGGACUUGGGAAAACAAAAUAGCCAAACCUCACUGUGCUGCUGCUUUCUGUCUUUUUUAAGUAAUAAUAAUAAUAAUAAAAAAAAAUUAAUGCUGUGGUGCAGCAGCCAUGUUAGAAAAUCUCCCCGUUUCUCAUGUCUGUUUUCAGUUGUCAUUUUCUCAAGCUCUCCAACAAGCUAACAUUUUCCAUGGCUUGUUUGCAGUUAAAUUACUUCCCUGGAUAUUUUUAAAAUAAAAUCAUGGCAGUGAAGAAGCAUGAGCUGUCUCUGCUUGGCGGAGAACAUUUAUAUAGGCCAGAAGCAAAGAUUUGCCCCUGCUGAUCUGCUCACUUUGAGGAAGGCUCUCAUGUUUGCCUUACUGUGAUGAUCAGUGGUUGGAUGUGGGCAAUGUGCACAGAAAAAAAAAAAGACUCUCAUCUAUUGAAGGUUUUCCUUCUUGUAACUGUAACUUUUAUCCUUCUUUCUUGUUUUUUUGUUUUGUUUUGGGUUGGGUUGGGUUGGGUUUUUUUGAUUGAUCCUUAAACUAUUCACAGCUUUUGUGCUUGUCAGGUCUUUGAUUGAAAGACUGAAGCUCUGGUUUGCACACUACACCUCAUGUCCUGCUCUUAGUCCUAUUUGUAACCCUUGAAGCCCGGCUUUACAUCAUUCAGGAAGGAAGAAAUCAAGAAAACAUGUUGUUUGAUGUGCAUGUACAAAUCACUGUAUUACCUCACUAUCGUGCUUCUUUCCCUCAAACGGUUUCAAGGUGCAAAAAGCAUAUAGGUUUGCAUAUUAGGGAAGCAUAUUAGGGAACAAGUAUUGGGUCAGCCAUUCUGCUCUGCAACACAGCUUUUCGUUAUGACUGCCUUGUUCUGGGUAGUGUGACAGUCUCUGUUGUAAACAUAAUGGAAAGGGCUGCAGCUUUUCCUAGAACAGCAAUUGCUCAGACUUAGCAUUCUGUGCUGGUGUGAGAGUUCACACUAGGCCCAGCCUUGACAACACUUAAGCAGUGCUGUCAUCUGUGCUUCCCUUGGUUGUAUUCUGCCUGCCUUGGGUUCAUCUUAAGCAAGGUCUUUGUCUGGCUACAGUGUAAAAAGUAGAAUAAAAAUUGCUGAUUGUGGAGAGACAAGUGAUGUCUUUAUGAAAAAAAAAAAGUAAAAAAAAAAACAAACAAAAGGCUGGUGAGAGGUUGUGUAGGGAGUUGUCUGACUUACGUACUUGCAACUUGGAUCUCAUAGCUUAAUGCAUAUAUACCUAAAAUGGGCAAAAAGUGCUUAUAUUGGCCACAGAAUAGGACUGUAAGCAACGACUGGCUUGGUCACAGGAGUGGGGAGAUAUCCGGGCUUUUGCAUUGCCCUUUGCUCCUCCCUGUUUGGCUUUGCAUGAGCUUUUAGGCAAAAAAGUCCAGCAGGGGCUGAGCUGUAAACAUAGUCAGCCACAACUGCAAAUCUGUGGUGCUCUGCUGAAGGUCCUCAGACUGGACCAAUUCACAGCAGCGGGAGGAUCGAGCUUUCCAAAUCUGUGAUAGGACUGAAGCCUGCAUCCAGCCCUGUGGAGGAUGAGCCACCUCCACUUUUUUUUUUAUCUCUGAAGAUGUCCUGGGGCAGAGCUGGAGGCCAAGGCCCACCGGAGCCUGCUCGCAUCACCAUGCCUGCUGAGCAGGAGACCGGGCCGCGCUGCUCCCGCUAACCCCUGGCCACAGGCCCACUGGCUUCUGCGAUGGCCUCAGCAACAUCUGCUUCAUCCAUUAGCAUAGCACUCCUCUCCUGGCCUCCGGCCUGAGCCUUUGCUGCCAUUGAUUAGCAGCAAUUUCCUUCCCAAACCCGAAUGUUCGCCGGACGCCAGAUUGGAUUGCAGUCUGCCUGCCGUUGCAAAGCCACAGUGUGGGUGUGCAUGCACAGGAGUAUAAAUAGCACUGACUUGUUGCCCUCUGAGACGUUUCAGGAACUCUUCUGCUCUCGCUGAAGUUCGGAUUGCCUUCAGAUAUCUUCCCUUUGAGCUCAUGAGUAUAAACUUAUUUCGUGCCUCACCAGCUUUGACUCCUAAACCACGUUCUCGUGUUUGCAUGUUUCUCUCGUUCAACUUCAGCAGUUACAGCACCAGGUACCUUUUAGCAUCUCUGUUUGCUCCCCCGUCACCAUCUCAUCAUUUUGCAAAGCCCCUUGGAAAAUCUCCCUGCCUGGUUGCUGGAUGCAGACCUCAGUUAUUCCUAAAGCCAAAAAUACUGCACCUAAUUUAAAGCAAGCUGAAGCCAGGGCAUGGGGCUGCUGUUCAUUACGUUUUGCAGAUGAAGUGCUUGUGGGCCAUCUAUUUGGUUAGAAACUAAAUCUGUGAUUAGAAACCAAACAGAUGAUUUGAUGAGCCUUUGAGGAAGAGUGUGCUACAAUUCGAUGCUGUCCAACACAGGGCUAUACUCAGAGCUAAUCACUCUGCUUCACUCUGAGGUGAAAAUUGAAGCUUUUCUUGUGAGAGUCAAUAGCGACUACUACAAGCUAAGUUGCUGUGAGUGAGCCCAGCCAACAUAUUACAGGGUAUGGAAGGGGCAAAAACAUGAAAUAUUUUGUAUCUGAUCACCUGGUGAAAGUUACCACUCCUGCAUCUGCAAUAUUUGUACUUACUAUUUAUUAAUAUUACUAAUUAUUAAUUUUAUUUAUCAUGCUCUUUGUGUUUCGCAGGAAACAUCACUGAUUUCUCCUGCACUGGAAAGCUAAUGCCUGUGUUACUGUUUAUGAAAAGCUUAUUGUCUUCUUGGAAAGAAAGGGAAGUUUUAAAAUGCUUUCUUAAGCAAAUGAUCUCUUGCACCCUUAAAAAAUUUUCUCACCCAGUGACCCAGAUCUGUGAUCCUUUAAAGCUCUAGAAAACCAAUCAUAUUAAAAACCUUUUCUUUUUUUAAUUAGAAGAUUGCUAACUAUUUCCUGUAUCAUUAAGCCAAUGCCAAACCUCUUCACCAUUAAGGCUAUAUCCACUCUGUAUGGCCAGGCUGUGGUAUUUGGGAGAGUUUCCAGAAAAACAAAUGGACAAACCUGGACGAGCUCUUCUCCGGCUUGGUUUCUCCUUUGCAGGUUAUCUGACUUAAUCAAUUUUCCUAUCCAGCCCCAAGAUGAAGAACAGUGACAUGAAACUGCAUCUGAGGCUGCAGUGCAGUGGCCCAAGCUGCCUCUGUUGUGUCAUUUCCUCCUCUUCUCCUGGUUGUCAGGAUUUGCAGUAGGUAAGCUGGUAGGAUGCAAAGUUCAGCUCUUGUGCUGGAUGGACACACUGGGUUUGUCUAACACAGCAUGUGGCUGUAUUACAGUGUUUCCAAAGGAGGUGACUCAGAAGCCGUACCUCCAUUUAGCAGCGCAUCAUGACAUGGAAGUGAACCAAAGCACUUAAGAACAUGAAGAAGAAGUGUAUAGCAAAGGAGGGAGGAUGGGGCUUAGGAUUGGAAAAUAAUUUGGGUCAGAAGAGCUGUCUGGAGGCCUCUAGUCCAGCCUUUGCUUGAUACCAGGCCGCCUGUGAAGCUGUAUCAUACCAAUGCCACUACGUUCUGCCUGCUAAUUGAAGUUGGGUGGGAUGGCUCUUCUGGUAGAUUACAAUGCUGAUUUUGAAGACCUGCUUAGAUAGGCCUGUGACCUCCAGGAUCAUUCUGAUUACAAAUGUGUCCACCACAAAGCUGCAGAAAGCUUGUGAUGAGGAAGGGAAAAAUGUUCUUGCAUGUCAAUGUCCUUCCAGGAAAAAAAAUGGAAACUGUAGUGUUUGGCUCACACAAGAGAGCAAACACAACAUCUCCCUGAGUGUCUAAAUUGCCAUCUGCAAUAGAGAGACAGGGUAAAGCUUGUUUACCAUGGCAGGCUUGAGGGUGAUGCAAUCUGUCAGAAUUAUAAAAUAUUCUUGGAACUGCUAAAUAUUAUAGAUGCUAAUUCCACUUCAGAAAGUAUCCUGGAGCAGAUGAAAUCUACUGAACAUCAACUUGACACAAAGUGAAAUGGCAUCAAUGUAGGAAUUAGCUCCUGCUUGGUCUCAGUUUCCUGGGACUUGCUCAAGGAUGAUUUACCAGUUGCUCCUAACUCUGUAAUCCAGUAAGGAAGGCUGCGCUGGUGAAAAAGACAAGUUGACAUAGAAGGGAAGUAAAACCCACUACUUAAAGCACAUGAAGCCUCACAACAGUCUGCAAGAGAUGGAAAUAGCAAAUGGAGAGCCAUGGAUGUGAAUGAGAUGUUAGAAGUUGUUAAUAACAAGGAAGCUAAAGGAAACAACAAGAAAUUUUUGGCCAGUGGCAUUAAAAACUGAAGAUAAAAGCCACCGUCCCCCCUGCUGCUUUCAGUCCUCCAUUGUCACCAUCUGAAAACCUGAGUCUUCAGGUAAGUACAGUUAGUUUACAGUGGCUGCAAAGAGUGUUAGACCUUAGAAGAUAAACCACAUUGGUAUAAAUUGACCGGGAAGGCGAUAGUAGUUCAUAAAAAUCAGAAAAAAUCUCAUUUGGGACCUUCUGCCAGUGCAGCUGGUGUGUGAGAGGUGACUGGGCAGCCACUAACACUGCCACAUCACUACCUCAAUGAAAAACAACCACAAGAAAGCCUUUUGCUUUUGGAUAAGGAGCUCCUGAGAGCUUUGAAGAAAUCUGAGGAGCUUGGAGGGCUGCUGAAAGCUACCAAACCCCACUGUUGAGAUAUUGUAUCACACAGAGAGAAUGCAGGAAGACAACGCGAGCCGUUGCAAAUGCGCAGAUUGACCAGAUGUUUGUGUAAUUAACACUGCUCAGUGGGCAGUCACAGGAAAAUACCUAUUCCAGCCUUUUCUGCUCAUGAUAGGUGAGACCUAAACAUGGAAUUUUGUGCAGAUGAAGUCCACAGGGAGGUGAAACACUGGAACAGGUUUCCCAAGGAGGUUGUGGAUGACCCUUCUGAGGAGGCAUUCAAGGCCAGGCUGGAUGUGGCUCUGGGCAACCUGGUCUGGUGGUUGGCGACUCUGCACAUAGCAGGGGGGUUGAAACUCGAUGAUCAUUGUGGUCCUUUUCAACCCAGGCCAUUCUAUGAUUCUGUGAUUAUAUUUGAUCAUGUGGGACAGCAUGUAUGGAAAGCAUCUAAAAACGUGCAUGAAGCGUGAGCCUGGUGGGUCUGGACAAGCUUCUAAGUGUAAUUGCAGGGUGUGAUUCCCAAAGUGAGGGUCUGGCUUAGGUUAGUCCCUGGCCAUGUGUUAUUUUUUAUACAAAAAUAACAAUAUUCUUCAACAUUUUUAUAUAAAAUACAAAGCCUGUGCUAAAGGUUUGCAGGUGGAAGAGGCCAAGAGAACUGCUCUCACGGAAGUGACCAUCAUGCUUUAUCCAGCCUACACAAGCCUACAAGUUACAUGAGACCACAUCCUGAAGCAGGCCGAGCCCUCCCAGCUUCAAGCGCUUCCAUAUCACACAGAACACCAUUUCGUUGAGGAAAAACCCUCAACAGCACUUGAAAAGAAAGAGAAAAGAAAAUGACUUUAUUAUUUCCAUUGUGGUGGAAACAAGUAUUUGGUGUCUUCUUAAGGUGUGAGAGUUUGUGCGUCCGUGGCCAACUGCUCAAGUACUCCGAGCCUUUAUUCCUGCAUAUAAGCUGAUGUCCUGCUUAGAGUGGAGAUUUACAACCUGCUCACCAUGGGGGUUGCAUCAGUAAGACAUGUGUUCUCCUCGUUCUCAUACAUUAGCUUGUUUUGGGAGGGGAAAAUGGCUGCUCCCUUCAAAGAAAUCCCGGCUUUUGCUGAUGCUAUCUGGCAUUUUCACGGUGUCAUCAUUUUGCAACUCAUUUCGUGAUCCAGGGCAAAUGUGCGUCAGGGCACUGGGGUUUUGGUAUACCACAGACGUCAUCUGCUUCUCAACUGCCGCUAACUUGAGGAAGUUGUCAAAAAUACAAAGGGUUUCUCCUACAGAGGAAAACACAUGGCUUAGAAAGCAGUGGGAGCUGCCUGUUUUCCUUUUUGGGUGAAGAACAGGAAUUUUCAGAAUUUGGUCAGAAAGUGGUUUGGGCUGUGGGAGAAGUUGGACUUUGAUCCCAGGGAAAAUCAACUUUGAGAUAACAAGCUCUACAAAAACUCCCCAUUUAUUUGGUACAUUCAUUUGUUUUCAACUAUGUAUGUGCACAUAAUGUGAAUGUAACUAUAUAUAUAAAAUGUCUUCCAUCCUUUCCUCUUUGUGACCGUAGCAGGAGGAAGGGCCUUUACAGCAGCCACCAAAGGACUAAGACGUGUGACAGAGGGAACAGCGUGUUCUUCCAGAGCAUGAAGCUUGGCUCUGGUGCUCACUUCAGGUGGUUAUAUGCGUGGCAUAGAUGCCACGAAUGACUCACAGAUGACUGCAGUACUUAAAAUUUCCUACAAGGGGUUGAUCUGAGGUGAACAGAUAGAGGAAGGAGACAUUAUAUGUAGCUCUGUGGACUGGUUCUUCAAGGGUGAUGCAGAAGUCAUUUGCAUGUGAAGUUCUCCCUCUGGCAAAGCUUAGUUUUACAGCAAAAUAUUCUCAGGAAUUCUGUUAUAUUGUGAAAGCCAGAUGAGGGAGGCUGCCUGAAAGCAAUACAAGAUGGCCAGUGUAUCUGGCAAACUAGAAACUUCCUGAUGUAUGUGUGAACAUGACCAAAUACUAUCUAAUGUGCCAAACUGCUCUGAAAGCACAUUUGAAUCAGAAUUAAGUUCAUGCAUCUGGGCCAUCCUGCAGCUGCUUCUACAGGAACGUGUUUGGGUCUAUAGUAGCCUUACUUUCAAGCUUGACCUGUCUUCUGUUGCUUGUAUCUCUUUUGGAGAACUAGAAGACCUUCAAAAGAAACAGCUGUGGUUCUUAUAGUCAUCAGUAGUACUUCCAGCUUGUUUCAGAGAUGCAGCUUGCCCAUUCUCUUUCCGUGCUGCAAUUUGAAAGGUUGAAUGGACUCAAGACAUGCCAAAAUGAUGCACAUUUGGUAUCACUAAAAUUUUCAGCACUUACUGCUUGUCACCAUAAGCAGAGUUGUAACCACACAGGUGCUGCAUCAGAAGAGAGAAAAGCUGGAGCCAAUACUAGUGGAAUCAUUUGACCUGACCUCAAUGGCAAGGGGCAGCCCCAUGAUGUGAAGGCUGGAAGUUCCUGUGUCCAAGGGCAAAAGCUUUGGAAAACUCAGAGGGUAAAGUAGCCAUGCGUUUCUCGAGAUCUACAUUCACUUCUACUUUUAGUGGCUUGGACCAAACCUUAAUGUAAGCAACUGCUUUGGCAUGUUGCACUAAAAUUUUAUCUGGAUGGUGUCGCAAUGUCCUUUGAGCUGUGGGAGAAGACAGUGCUUGAAAUAUGCAUGUUUGAGCAAGUUCAACGCAGCUUGCUUUUGCUGGAGCCUGACUUUCUUUCCUGGACAAAGCCAGAGAUUUGUGGAGUCUAAUAAUGUGUCAGCAAACCAACUUGGCAUAUAGAAAUGAGAAGGGCGAGUCCCUGUUCCAGUUGCAUAAAAAUGUCAGUGUGUGUGGGGAGUAGAUGAAGGUAAAAUUAAGGCCUAGUUUAUUUUCUUUCCUUUAAAGUGUAUUGUGUUUCUUGCUGAUGAGAAUGAUUUCAUAAUUACAAGCAUAUGGUGAAAAUGUCUGGGUAUCGGUAGAGAGUUGAGAUCUGAACUCAGGUCUGGUCUAGACUAUAUUCCUGUGGUCGUACAGUAGGUAAAUCUUGUGGCACAAUUUCUUGACUUUUUAACACGAGAAGCACUGCCAGCAUGUGAUGACCCAGAUAGACCAUUGGUGAUCUCAGAGAACAUGGUCUAUUUGCUUUCUAGUUUUGCCGACAUGCUUGGGGUCAGCAUUUUGAGCCAUACCCCGUAGGCAUGUCCUAGACAUUUUCUUCUGACACCAAGGAGAAUUGAUGUAACUACUGGUUUUCAGGAAUGCAAGCUUUAAAACAAAUAAUCAGAAGUUAAAAAACUUGUUGUAAAACUGACAGUUCAUGUUUUACUUGUUAACGUUGUUCCAAAUGUAAAAUUGGAGUGUGCUUUAAAAUCGUUACAGUGCAGUUCCCCAUGAGGCAAAAUGCCUUCAGUCUGCUGGGAAUGACAAACAAUAAUGGCAGAAGGAAAGUCAACAGGGCUAAAAUUAAAAUACUUGUGUUUAUAAUUGCUUUUACCAAGUUCCUGGAAGGCCCCUGUUUCAGAUGCAGGAUCCUGUAGGGUUAGGUGAAAUAGAACAGAGCAUAAUCCCAGUCCCAGAAGGUUUUGAGCUAUGCAGGUCUCUUCCACUGACCAGACUUCCACUGACACACUUGGAGACCAUGUUACAGACAUAUCAUUUCUAAUUGAAAAAAAUAAUUUAUAGAUUUUUUUUUCAACAGCAAAUUAUAUUUCUUCCAUCUUGUUAAUGACUGUUGGAUGGACAAUGCAGAAGGAUCCCUUUUGCAGGACAAAAAGGCUACAAAAAUAAUAGAAAUGAACGUCUGCAGCUGAAGAGUUUGGCUGGGACUUGAAAAGUUUGCUUUGGGUACGAGCCAGGUCCUGCUGAGGUCUGCAGGAAUUUUGCUCUUGGCCUCAGUGGGACCAAGCUUUCACCCUUGGAGGCCAUGUCCUGAGGAAGAAUUUAGUCUGAAAUAGUUUUCAAAACUUGUAUUGUUUGACUCACAACCAAGCAUUUUGUUGAGACCGAGUGGCUUUGUAUUUCUGAUUGACUCAUGUUGCUCAUCUUAGCAUCCUGCAGCAGUGAUCUCUCAAGGAAAUCCAAGUGUGAGAGAGGAUUGCAUGUAAGGUUCCUAAACCAACAGCUUCUUGCAGGUCUUCCCAGGUGUCUGCUUAAGCUGUAUAUUUUUGGGAGGAGAUGUGCCUUGGAGCCCCAGCACAUCAGCACACUGCACUGAAGCUAUGGCUGUGACCUGUGGCAUGACUGGGAUAUGCCCAUCCAGACCCUGGUCAUCUUUGAUAGACCCAUCCCUCCAUUCUGCAUAUGAUUCUGUGAUUCAUGGUGAAACAAAUAUUUGAAGGAAGAACAGAGAACUAGUAAAGUGUUUUGAUUUAUACCUCACAUGUAUGCCCUUCCUUAUUACCCCCUUGGUCAUUUUUCCUGUAGACCUCAGAGACCACAUUGAAAAUAACCACUAUCAAAGUGAGGUUUGUGCCAUUCUUCUUCUUCUUCUGAUUAGAGCUAGGAUAACACAUUCAAAUAAUAAGUCUGAAGCUGGGCAUGGGUGGGACAACACUACUGUACUCUUAACACUGCAUGUUCUAGGCAGAUUUAACAUGCAGGUCUUGCAUUGUUGGACUGCACAAGUGUAGUAAUGUUGGAUUUUACUGCUCUAUAUCAACUUGUGAUGAAACGUGGUGACAUCAGCAGAGACAAAGGUCCAUUUCGUAUAAAGCUUGCAAAAACACCAAGUGCUUGUUUGGUCAUUCAGAACACAGAGCUGGGGAAAACAACUUGCUCAGUUCACAGCCCUGAAACCUCUGGAGAUGCGUGGCUGGGUUAUUUCCUUGAUAUUCUGUGAUAUUAUGACCUGUUCUAAUAGCACAGGAUCAUAGAACUGUAGGAGUUGGAAGGGAGGAUUAUUGAGUUCCAGCCCCUGCUAAAGCAGAUUCCAUACAGGAGGUUGCACAGAACAGCAUCCAGACCCAAAGAAGGAGACUCCACAACCUCUGUGAUCAGCCUGUCACAUUUAAGCAGUUUAUAGUUAUCAAGAUUUAAGAUUUUCCUCCCGAAGUCAAUUGGUUUCAUAGUAGACCCCAACAAAUCAGUAUUUUUGUUUUGCUGAAAUGGAGUGUGAUAUCAUUUUAAUGGCUCCUUUCUGAAAACCUUGAAAGCUGCUUAAGAAACAGAUUCACAGUGUAUGGGCUCGAAAACUAUCCCGUUCUGGUACACUUGAAGUUGUCGAGCACAGAGUGCAUAAUUUAGAAUUGAAAAGAAAAAGAUGUAUCUGUGAAUUAAGGACUGCAAUACAGGAGCUAUCAACCACCAAGAGGCUCUUUUAACCUCAGCAGAGCUGUGCUCUUUAAUGUGUUUUUGUGGGGAAGAAGAAUAAAAAGGAAAUCUGAGAAAACUGAUCUUUAUUUUUAGAAAAAUAAUUUCUUUUUGCUAAGGAGGACUUUUUAUUUUCUGUGCUCUAAAUAAAGCAGUGAUAUGGUCCUGUUGUGCCUCAGGCUAUCCGCUUAAAAGAAAAGGCUCCAAAGAUGGACCAUCUGGAAGCCUGUGCAAGAGCACGCCAGUGCUGUUUGAUGUGGAAGAGCAUCCUUUGGAUGUAUUUUUGAACACUGCUCAAUCCGCUGAAGUUUUUUUUUGUGUGUGUUGAGCUGAUGGGAACAUCUCAGAGGAUUUUGCUUCAUGUGUUAAUGCUGCUUGCUUCUUUUUUCAUUAAAUGAAAGCUGGGAAGCAGUGUUUCUCUCUAGAAGCACUUUCGAGAUCUGCAGGUGAUCACAACGCAAAGGGAGUCAGUUGCACAUUCUUGGCCAGAUCUGCUCUUUCCAGGGCACAACAAGAACUUCCUCCUCUUCCCAUUUUUUUCUGGGAUGCCUGGGAUCUCCUUGGUUCCUGCAAGGCCAAAAAAGUUCUCUGUUUUGUUGUUGUGGUGGUGUUUUUUUGUUCAGGACUUUGCCUGAUGUACUUUGUUUCAGUGCUGCAUCUGAGAUGAGGAGAAAUUCACCCCUGGUUCUGGGAUAAGGGGUUCACCCCCACCCCAUGCAGUGUUUCUCUGAGCUUAUGUUCUCAGAUGUUCAAGUCCCAUCCCUGCACAUACCGGUGCCCUUUUGGCUCAACCUGCACAUCUGACAGCCUAUGCACUUUGCCCUCCCAUUAAGAGGCUACUCGUGUAAGGAAUUAGGGUCUUGUAGUUACAAGCUUCUGCAGGGAAACAAAACCACUCUUUUCUUUAGAUGAAUGUUGGACAACUCUUUUUUGUUUGUUUGUUUUGAUGGAAACUUGUGAAAUAAGCAAGAUCAUCUCCACCUCCUAAAAGGAGCUCUCAGUGCUUCGUGCAGCCUCCAAGAGAUUACUUUUGUUUUUAUUUGGGGGGGGGAGGGUCAGGGAUGUGGGCCAAAGUGGGACGUUUGCGAGCUGGUGAAUCUUCUGAAAAGGACAAGUGUAGGCACUUUGUCUCCUCUCAGCAUGGCCAGCGUGGAAAGCAGUGAAGGACUAAAGGACAUCGCAGUGUCGUGGACAUUCGUGCCACUAACUGCUGUUGCUUUCACCAGCCAUAUGUACAGCUGCGUUCUUUUUAUAGUGCUGCAUAUGGCACUAUCGUAAUUGAAUUUUUCUUAAUAAUUGAUCUGACCUGUAUCAUUCUGUUCAUUUUAGGAGAGCUAAUUCAAGCAGAUUGAGAUUAGGACUAAAAAUAUGGUUUGGUUAGCGGAGGAACCAUAAAGAGCGCGACUUCACAGUAAUGAUGACACACAAUCUGUUUUACCCAGAUAGGCUCAUACUAUUUAUAUGUAGCACACUGUCAAGGCUGGUGCCUUGUCUGCCUUGCAGUAGCUGUGAUACAUGGAGUAGUGGCAGUCCUGUGCUGAAGAGCACUCUAAUUCCAUGUUUUGGGACCUUCCCACCUUAUCACUUCCUCUAGCAAGGCUGUGGGGUCCAAGAUUGCAGCUGAUGGCCCUGUCUCUGUUGUAGUAACUCUCCAACUUGCCCAUCCAUGUGAGGAAUUGAAUCUGCACUGUCCCAGCCCUGGGCAGGGGAAACGCGAGUCUCUAGCAUGGUGAGCUUAGCUUCUCACAGCAAGCUAUGGAAAUAGCAAUGAAAUUGGAAUAGGUGAGCUGGAUCCUGCCUCAUGUUUAGAAAUGAAAACCCUAGGGUAGUCUCUGAAUUGCCCUUUGCUGAAAAGGAUUUUGGCUGUUUGGUUCAGACUCCCGAAUGUAGGAACGGCGGAGGUGGGACUGCAGACAACUAAGAAAGUUAGAAACGGCCCAUACGAUUAGGAUGCUGCAAAACGAGUGGCAGCUCUUUCUCUCCCAGAGCUCUCGGCUGCAGCUGAGUAUCUGGACCAGACGUUAUUUUUGGCAAGAGGAAAAAAUACAUCUCCCUUGAUACUGUGCAAAAAAAAUGAAAGUAAAUGUUGAGACAUACACGAGGGCAAGGAUCUCCUCUGUUGUGUGGCAGCAGUGCUUUUAGAACUGAAAUCCACUUGCUUUGAUCACUGAUUAAAAAAAAUGGACAUAAAAGGGAUUUAUUGUGAAAUAAUGGAUUUGAUCCCCAGUAAUCCUUUCUUUGGGAUUAGACUUGGAAUAUUAUUUUUGUGAUCUGUGGAAUUAGACCAUGCUGGCAUGACAGACCAAAGCACGUGAGUUUAACUGCAGGAUGAGGCUGAGCUGCAAACAGAGUGAAUUACUUGCACAGAACAAAGCAGCUGAUAAAUCUACAGCUCUGUAUUUAAUGACGCAAGAUCCACAUGCAAGCAUAGAAACAGAAAAAAAAAAUCCUAAACUGAAGGCAGGAAAGACCCCUUCUUCCCAGCUGACACUGCAGAGAAACACUGUGAUCACAGAAUCAUUGAAUCAUAGAAUGGCUUGGGUUGGAAGGGACCUCAAGGAUCACCGAACUCCAACCCCUGUACCAUAGGCGAGGUUGCCAACUGCGUGAUCUCUGUGGACUGCUGGCUAGAGCUUCUGGUUUGAGUAUUUUCUGCCACAAGAACUACAAUUUAUAGCUGCUCCCAAUGGAAUGACUGAGGGACUUAGAAUGUCGGUGCAAACUCGGUGCAGGUCUUCAUGUAUGGCCACAAUACUUCCCAGUGAGAUUUGGCAAGCCCCAGGCUCGCUGCCCAAACAGUGCCUGCGUGCACAGCUCCUUGGUCUCCCAGCACACUGCUGAUUUGGCCUGAUGUGUGCUGAGAAGUCCUCCUGAGUGGUUCGUUAUGGGUAUAUUAUAACAAAAUAGGUACAAAAUGUGCUAUGAAUCCCUGGUAUGUAACUUUGAAGUCCCAAACCUUUCACAAAAAGCAACUGCAAGGAACUCCUCUCACUUCUCCUGCCAGAUUUUGACUCUGAACUCAAAGUGGGGCUGGAGAUGGCUUUUAAAACAGAGGGAGAGUUCCUUUGUGUUGUGCUCUGAAUCAGCUGAUCUUCAAAACAAAACAAAACAAAACACAAAAGCUGUGGGACAGAGAGCAAGCGAAGGAAAGGUAAAAUAUCCCCUGCCAGACCCAUUCCUGCUUUCGCUGCUGGACUCACAGCCACACUUCUGUUUGCAAAGGUCACUCCUGCAGCAGGACAUGGCCCAGGCUCCUGCCUUGCACAGCCGUGGGAGCUGCUGGGCACAUCAGUACCCCUAAGCAUAACCCAGGUCUGCUUCUAGUAGGCUUGCUAUUUCAGUCCUUUGAGGACUCUGCUUUUUCCUCAGGGCUUGCUAACCCACAAAGCUGCCUGCUCUGCCUUGAGAGCUGCUGGUGCAGGACUGCUGCUCCGGCUUGGGACAUUCAUAGAGCACUGGGAUUCCCAUUAAAUCUUCUGCUACUAGCAUAGGUUUCCCUAUUAAAAAAAACUGCAGUACAUCUUGAAACUGGGCAAGCCACACCAUGCAAACUCUUGGGAAGAAGCUGGUUACAACAGCCCAUGUUCCAAGUCUCAUGAUUCCUUCGUAGGAUAAAAACGUGUUAAUUAUCUCCAUUUUUUGAUUUAGAGGGAGGGAGUUGCUUUUCCUCACAGCAAUGUAUAUCGAAGGGUUACAAGUGGUGCACGAGGAGUUUGUAAUAAAUCCUGCUUGGCAGUUAUUCAGAAGGUUUCCUUGAGUACACUGUGUCUGAUUAUUGCAGCUGACAGCUCUGUACACGGCGUACAGCAGACAUCACCUGGCACAGCACCACUGUACGCCACCUGGCAAAACUGGGGCAAAACUCAGAGGCAGCCAUGAGAGUUUUCUGCCACAAUUUGUGCUGAAUAUUCCCUCACCCUACCCCAUUCCCUGAUCCUUACUCCCUACCUCACACACAUGCUCUUGGAUGAAGUGCACCCAAUUUUUGCGCACAGUGCAAAUCUGGUAGGAGCGGCUGACAUCAGCAGUGUCAGUCCAGAGGGACCUUGAGAAACGUGGAGAUUCAGCCAACAGAAACUUCCUGAAGUUCAGCAGUGAGACAUGCAACGUCCUUCAUGGGGAGCAGGAAAUCCUCAUGCAUAGAUCCAGGCUGAAAGCAGCCGGCUGAGAGGCCUCAGUGGAAGGGGCGCAGGGUACGCAGUGGGUGCUGUGUUCAAUGUGAGCCAACGUGUGCUGUCACCAUGCAGAACAUCCCAUCUGGGGCUACUUGGGAGCAGCACAGAUCAGAAGAAUUUGUCAUCUCCUCUACUCAGGUCACAGCUGGAUACCUACAGGUGUGCAGCACCACAGAGGACUUGAUGGUGUUUGGAGUAGAUCUGUGGAGCAUUCUGCCACAAGGCACCAAAGGUGCAAAGCUUCCUUGGGCUCAAAGGGAUUUGGAAUGAAACCACUGAAGACAGAUCUUCUGGGAAUACAUCCUUGGGAAAAUACAUGCAUUCAAAUUCAUGCUGAUACACCCUCUAACUGGGUGAUAGGCUUGAGCUGCAAAUUGCCUGUUAGAGCUUUCUGGGGUGGGAGAUCUACAGGUUUGUUCUUCAGUAAUAAGUGCACAUUAGUAGCCCCUGCUGAAAGCAUGAUAUGGAUGCAGGUUUGAUCUGUAGAAAUUUCCUUUUUCUUCAGCAUCUUCCUGGGAAGCUCUACUUCAGUGACGAGGGUGGAAGAUGUACGGAAACCUGCAAGUUUGGAGAAAACUCAAUUGGAAGUGAAGGCUUUGGAUAGUUCACAGGAAAAAAUGGGAUAGAGUUUUGCCCUGUGCCCUGAGUUCACACUCAGCAGGACUGUGAAAAUAUAGCUGCUUUGGAAAUCCCUCACCUUGGAGUCUCUCCAAAGAGAGGACUCUAACUUGGUGGCUAUGGCUGUGUCACCCUUCUGUCUGUGUCUUUGAGCUGGCUUUGUUGCUUAUUCUCUCUGCAAGCUGAGAUAGGAAGUGAAGCUCCAAGAUGAUAGCCCCAGGAGCAGGCAAAGCAGGGAAACCUUCUUUAGAGGGAUGAUGUUCCAUACAGAAACACACAGCUCUCUUCCGGGUGAUCUUAUCUUGCUUUCACAGUCAUUUCAGAUGUUUUGGGAGCAGUUGAGCAAGACAUGGUCAUGGGAUGCUGGAUACAGUACAUCUAUUGGAGGGGUUGAUCUACACAUAGAGAUGAUUUUUCUUUUUCCCAAAAUGGACCCGUUGUUCUACAAAAUUUGCUUCCUAAACUUAGCAGGAGAGCACCAAUGCCCUUUGAAUUAGUGUGGUUGGAGGAAAGUGUCUAGGAGAAGUCUCAGAUUGGCUGCAAUCAGCAAGAGAAGCGCAUGAUGAUUUUACUGGGAAGUCUCCAUUAUUGCAGUCUUGCUGUGCAGAUCUUUCAGCUGUGAAAAUACAAGAAUUUGCUUUGGAGAUGUGAGCCAUAACUCUGCAAGAUGAUCUUGUGACCAGAGGUGGGAGAACCAGUAGCAGGGAAUUCUGUCUGCAGGUCUUGGAUGGAGGUCACAGAGGAGGAGCACUGGUUGCUUCCACGCCCAUCAACCCUCUUUUUUAGUGGUGAAUGAUAGUUCUCAGAGUUAACAGCUUAUUUAUUUAGUGAAUUCUUGUUUUUGAAAAAAGCGAAGUAAUGGGAGGAGGAAGCAAACCACAAAUACUUCCUUUCAAAUGUCUGUGUUAUCAAAUAUUUGGAAGUUUGGAGUCUGAUAGUAAGGUCUGAAUCCAUAUUCUUCUAUUAGCAACCACAGCUUGACAAAUGAAUCCACAUGCAAGGCAUUCUGUAGCUGGGCAGUGUGGUCAAACUCCUCUUCUGCACCAGCUUUUUUCAACCCCUAUUUCAUUUCUAGAAUUAAACUCUGAUCCAAAAAUGCCUAUUAACAGAGUACUGAUGCUUGAGAAUGCUGAUGGUGUUGAUGAGUUGGUGGCAUACCUGCAUUAGGGAUCUGUGCCAAAUGUAAGUUACAUCUGUAAUAACAGUUUUGCAGCUCGUGGUUUGGGAUGUCUGGAAUAAAGACCACACAACAUCUGUUUGCUUCCAAGGAAGUGACUCUUCAUAGGCAAUAAAAACACACCUUUGCCUUGAAUUCAAGCAGUACUAAUAGAGGAAACAGUCGUCUGCUGGGGAGGCUGUGAAUUUUGGUGGUGAACUUCCAGCUUGCCAGCCUGGCAUCCCACUUUUCUGGCACAGCUCAUCAUAAACUUGUUUUCCUAGGGAUUUCCACACCAUCAUGACCUUUGCAUGAAGCCAAAGGACACCACAAUUAGAGAUUCUGGUGUUUGCCGAUCAUGGUAUGCUUUUUUUUUUUUGAGCAUGUUUUCUGAAUACCUGUGCAUGUCAUUUUUGAGUGGCUGGGAAGAGGGUAGCCAAGGUCAAGAGACAAAGCAAAUGUCCCAAUGCUAAAGCCCCUUAGCCCACUGGUGUGCACAGUUCUUCCCUGUGUGUAGAACAUAGAGAGGAAGCUCUCUUUUGUACUUCAUACAGAAUAUCCAGCCACUGACAGCGUGCACAGGCGGAAUUCUCCAAGUUCCCUUUAGAAGCCAGGUUUCUCAUUGCAAGCAUGCCUAAGAAUGAGCAUGUGGAAUACCUGAGAAAAAUGGGGAAGACCCUAGGUAUGAAUGAUGCAAAUAUAAAAGACCAUAGAAACUAUAGAAACUAUAGAAAAUCAGAAUCUUGAAAAACACACUCUAUUGUUGAGAAAAGCUCUGCAAAGAGAUCUCUGUCUCAAUGAUAGUGUUUUCCUGAAACCUAAGGGCAUUUCUCCUGCUUUGUUUCAUAGCAUUAUGCUUUAAAAUUAAAAUUAAAAUUAAAAUGCUAUUUAGCUUAGCUUGUCACUGCAUACAGCAAGCUUUGAGCAAGAGAAUUGCAUUUCAGGCCUGUAGUAUAAGAGGCAAACAAGUCUGGAAAUCUGGAUCAUAUAUCCUGCCAUUGCACCUGCUGCUAAUACUUACAAUAGCAGAGGUAAUUAAAUAAAUUCCUUUCUGCCACCUCUGUUUCUGCUCCGCGGGGUCAGUAAAGGACUCAUCUAAUGCAAUGAUACUCAUUUCAUUUUGCUAUCAUUUCCUAACUCCAGGCAGCAAAAGGGCAGCAAAAAAGACAUCAAAAGGACAUCCAUGAGGAGCUGCCCAAGACAUGUGCUUUUGAUUGCUUGUUUUUUCUUGGAAGUAAAGGAGAAUGCCCCUUUCCAUCAAUGGAGCCAGUGUUCCCCAGUUGCUGUUUACAGGGUUUUCACCUCAUGCACGGGGUUGCCUCUGGUUAUACUCAUGCAAAUCUCUCUGUGCCACUUCAGCAACACCCUCUGCACCAGCUGUGAUCAGUGCUCAGGGUGGUAUCUCAGUUGUGCUUUGCUGUUUGUCAGCCAUGCUCAGUGUGGUUAGCUGCACAGAAGCUCAGUGUUCUCUCUAAUUUACCGUUUAUCACAAGAAAGAUUUCAAGUACUUCCAGAUAAUUGUGGUUUCUGCCAGUCUAGGUGGUGUUUCAGCCAAAUGCGUUGCAGAGAAAGACACUGUAUUUUGAAACUUUCUCACUUGUCUUCUCAAUUGCGGUUCUCAGAAACUCCUUUUGAUCACUUCCCUUGCCCUGCCUAACAGAUGUAGUGCUAACUGCUGCGCUUUGUGAGUUGCAAUUGAUUGCUGCUGGACUUGAAGUCUCCUGUUUCUACCCUGAGUUUUUCUCCUUAUUUUUCCUGUAGUCUGCUUUAGCAUAUACUGAUAGAUGCUUCACUUAACUCUGACCAUCUUCUGACUGCUCUACUUUUUUUUGUGGCUCCCUGGUGUUCAUCUGUUUUUUUUUUCUCAAGUCUUAAGUUGGUCUUGAAAGAGUCGUAUACACACACUUGGCUGACCUGCAGCCAUAUUCCCAACCUCUUUGCUGCCCAAGCAGUUAAAAAUAAACUCAACACACCCCAAACACCCAAGAAAGUUGACUGAGUUCUUCUAGGGCCUGUUCUAGCUUAGGAAUUCUUGGUGUAAAAGGAUGCCUUCAAGACACUGGUAUGACUCCUUGGGGCUGUGUUUUUGUUUCCACACCAUGCUCAUUGUGUUUGUAGUUCACAUUUUUUUCCCUUCCUGUAGAGAACAGAGGAGGUGCUGAAUUGUGCUUCAACCAAGCGGUCAUUGACUUCUCUUUUUCUAGAAGCAAUGUACACCGUGUUAUCAGUUCAGGCAGUUGCUUUUGUUUACUAUAGAUUUAGUCCCAAAGAGUUCCCUGGUGAAUAUGUACCUUAUGUGAGAGCCUGAGUCAAUGUUCAAGAGAGAAAGAGACUCUGGAGUGUCUUUGAGCCACUUGCUUUCCAUGACAGAAAUGAGCCAGCUGAGGUUUGUUUCUCUUUGCAUCAAUCAGAUUCUUCUUCCCUUGUUAACUGCAUUUACUGCAUGCUUGUCCUGCCGAACAUCCAACCUGUAGAAGAUUUGGUGGAGAGGUUAGUGGGAAGGAGAUGCUCAACUUGAGAAAGACACAAGAAGACAUUUUCAGUUGGGGAAAAAUGAGAAAAUUUCGCAGAAAUUUCACAAAAUUUUUGAGGUUGGAUGGGACCUCUGUAUAUCAUCUUGUCCUCUGCAUGUUGGCAACAUCCUCUCGUCUUCCAACUGUCUUUUCCCAGUAGGGAUUCCUCCUCCUCCUUUCCAUGUGUGUUUGGUCUUUGAGGCAUGAAGAUUGGAACUUCCUAACUUCCUGUAGUCUAUACAGCCAUGGUCAACUGUCACUGAACACAAGGGAAGACCAGAUAAGCACUCCUGUUCAUCAUCAGGAUGGAUAUUUAUCAUAUAGGUCGGGUAACCACAACAAAUCGAGCAAUCCCUUUGGAGUUCAAUCACGCAUGCAAACCUGAGGAUGUGGGAUUAUGUCUGGAGCUCUUCUCCAAUGUAGUUGUGAUGUCAAACUUGAAGUUAGCUCUCAGUUGCAGGAAAUGGCUGGAUGCCAGAGAUUUUCUAAGAGAACACAAGCUGUCAGAGCUAAACUUUGGGAGCCUUUUUCUUUGUGUAGGAUAGGAUCAUUACUUUGUUAAAUCAAUGGAGAAGUGUAGAUGGGAAUAUAUACUUUCAAAAAUGUAUGUGUUCAGACCCCUUGCUAAAAUCAACUACCCCUAGCAGAUUUAGCUCUUGCAGGUAUUUCAUAUCUGAAAUCUGGAGAAAGACUUCUUUUGUUUCCAAAGAAACCUCUGUCCUCUGCUUCCCUUUGACUAGAUUUAGGACAUAUAACAUACUAUGAGCUGUAUGCAUUCUUUCCAUUCUUCCAUUUAUUUAUUUAUUUGUAAGAUUGUAAGUCAAAGUGCUGAAUUUCUUAGGGAGAGACUGGAAAGUGGAGAGUGCCUAAUUUCUACUGGUAAACAGAGUACUAGCAUCUGGACAGAGUUACAGCAAGCAAAAAUUUUAUGCAGUGUCUAUGGUUGUGAAGAAUCCCAGUUUCUUGACCAUAUGAGGCAUUCAGAGCUUCAGCAAGAGAGAAAGAAGGCUCAGCUUUUUAUUAAAAGUGACUUUGAUAGAAGAAUAAAAGCAGACCAACAGCCAGAAAUGUGUUGUCAACAUCAACAUCUGCUCUGCUGGCUGUUUUACUAAUGCUGAAAUCCCUCGGCUGUCUGGUGUACAGGUGAAUGCCCUUGUUUUGUCUACAGGACCAUCCCAUGCCCUUUGCUGUUAGAAGUGGACCAUUUGCACAUUUCAGUGUUCCUGAAAUGGAUGUCCUUUGGAUACUUUUUUUCACACUGCUUAUAUGAGCCAGUGAAAUGUUGAAUAUUGUCCCAUUUACAGCUUCCAUCUGCUGACUUGAGGGUGUGUUCAUAACUGAUAGUGUAAAUCCUCAAUCAUCCAUAGCAGAUGAUGGAAAGAACUUCUUCAUUCUCGCCAAUCAUUAGCAUGUCAAACAUUAGUGUGAGAACACAUACAACAAUCUCAAGCUUAGUUUCCAUUACACACUGUUUUAGUUUCACAUAGACAAUUUUCUUGCCUAAAUGAAGCAGUAUUCUGCUUAGUGUUGCGUGAUAGACAUGAUUUCUUUCUGUGACCUGCUGACCUUGGAAGCAAGGUCACAGCUUGCUGAUCUAGCAAGCCCUGAUUUUAAUUCUAACCCAUCUCGAUCAUGCACGAUAGUUCUCAAAGAUACCUACGUCAUGACCUCAAUGUUGAUGAUCUGUUUGAUUAAAGAAACAGUUUCCACAUAGAGAAACAGCUACCAGGGAGUUUUCAGCCUUGUUAGAGCAGGAACCAAAUAAACCACAAUAUGCAAACCCCUGCAGGCAACCUGGGGUGUGAUGCAGAGCCUUCAGCCAAUGAAUGUGAGAAUGCAGUGGCAGAACAAUAACAUGAUAGAAGCAAAAAUAUUCAUUUGUAAAUGAUUACCUUCCCCAGGGCUGCCCUGGAAGGAACAUCUACACGCCAAGGGGAUUCUUGACAUUAAAACAAACAUUAAAAGUUGUUUAUUUGCAUGGAGGUAGAGAUUGAACUCCCGUUGUCGAUAUUUAAAUACUGUGUAUCCAAUUCUGUUUUCAUGCUGUACAGAAAAUCUUAUUGAAAGAACAGAAAACAAACAGAUGUGUGUUGGAGGUAGAAACACUGCUCUGGUGACUUCUGGUGCAGCUGCGCCUUGGAGAUCACCUCAAAGCUUCCCUUGGUGCAUUUCUCUUUGGUGCUCUAAGGCCAGUGUCUGCAGGGCUCUCUGUGGAGUCUCACCACAGGCCAUUCUUUUACCGCAAAAAGCCCUCCCUGCUGCUUGGUGGGACACCAAAGGCUGGGAGUGAAUGUAUUAUUGGCUUCACGGUUUUCCAUCUGGUUUUGUUGCCUGACUUCGGAGAGGGUUUUGCCCUCAUUCCUGAGGGCUGCCACUGUUUCCAUUUCUCGUGGGUGAUGGACUUCCCAACGUGAUGCAGAUACCUGAUCACUGCAAAAGGAACAUCCUCUAUGUCUGUUUGGGUCCCGGGUGGAAAAAAAUUCCUCUGUUCUCCAACACACUUGCUUUUCUUUUUAAAAACAUAAUUAAAGAGUAGAAGAUGAGAGUUAACAAGAUAUAAGAACAAUGCAUUCCUGUUGAUUCUUUAAACCUUUUGACAUCUUGGAAACAUCUUCCUUUUUAAUUGCAACUUACAAGCCAAAUCCUUUGUUCUUUGAUAAGGUCUCAGAAUUGGAUCUUGCCCUUUGCCCUGCUCACAGAAUCUUUCUUCCUGCAGGCAGCAGAAGAAUUGGGCCAGGUCUAGCCUACAGCUUCAAACAUCCAGUAGCGAAUAGAAAGGAUACAUUUUGUUUUUCAUUUUUAAACAUCAAUUUAAAUAAAUUUUAAAAUUAGGAAAUACA